GGUGUAGUUGUUGAUUAAAACAAAAGAAGAACCACCUGACAAGCUCUCUCUCUCUCUCUCCACAGAAAUUUUUCGCAGUCUCGAAAUUCUUCCUCCUCAUCAUCAGUAAGUACUUUCAAACUGUGAUUUCCACUAUCAUUUUCAGAGAAUCCUAAGAUCUUUCUUUCAGAUUUUAAUUACAAUUUCCAAUUCUCAGUUCAAGUUUAGGUCAAUUUUAUCAUCCCCAAAACCUAAAAUGGGGGACGACAAUAACAAUGAUUUCACUUUUCCCGUCAAUCAAAACCUAAUCGAACAACUACCUAACGAAGUUCCUGAUAUCAGUGGUGUUACAUUGAAAGAAGAUUUGGCAAGCAGUUCUAGUAAUAUUGAUGCUGCUGCUGAUUCAUCUAAGAAGGUUCAGAAGGAAGUUGGUUCAUUAUCAUUCACUGUUGUUGAUAUGUCAUCAUCUGGUAAACCUAAGGAUGAAGUGUCAAAACAAGUGAUGAAAGAACCAAUUCAGGAUGAGGCGGAGGAGGUGUUUACAACUAGAAAGCCUAUAGUUCGGUCGAAAGUUCCGUUUGAGAAGGGUUAUAGUCAAAUGGACUGGUUAAAGCUUACGAGAACACAUCCUGAUCUUGCAGGAUUGAAAGGAGCAUCUAAUAAAAGGCUCAUUACCAUGGAUGAAGUUAAGCAACAUCGAAAAGAAGGUUCAAUCUGGACGGUUUUGAAAGGUCGUGUGUACAACAUAACACCCUACAUGAACUUUCAUCCUGGAGGUGUUGACAUGCUAAUGAAGGGAUCGGGAAGAGAUUGCACCUCUUUAUUCAAUAAAUAUCAUGCUUGGGUAAACUAUGAAUUUAUGCUGGAGAAGUGCUUAGUUGGUACAUUAGAUGAAAGAAGGCAAUGAAGAGAAGAUUGCGCUUGAAUGUAGUUGUCUGCUUCUGUAUCAUCAUAAACUCGACGAAUCCCCAAUUGGUUGCAGAAGGCAUCCAGGAGAGCUUUAUAUUGAAGUCCGAUCUUCUUGAGAGUGGAAGGAAGGAUACACAGUGAACUACCCUAAAGUUUUGAUGUACUCUCCUCAAACUCCUUAGAACUUUCGGAACUUUGAUUAUUUAUUCUCUUCUCAUAUUGCUAAUUAUGCACUGAAUUAAUCAUCAUAUCUUAAUACAAAGUGUUACAUAUCUUCUCA